GUGGGGAAUAUUGGACAAUGGGCGCAAGCCUGAUCCAGCCAUGCCGCGUGAGUGAUGAAGGCCUUAGGGUUGUAAAGCUCUUUCAGUGGGGACGAUAAUGACGGUACCUACAGAAGAAGCCCCGGCUAACUUCGUGCCAGCAGCCGCGGCAAUCCGAAGGGGGCUAGCGUUGUUCGGAUUUACUGGGCGUAAAGCGCACGUAGGCGGAACAGAAAGUCAGAGGUGAAAUCCCAGGGCUCAACCUUGGAACUGCCUUUGAAACUCCUGUUCUUGAGUUCGAGAGAGGUGAGUGGAAUUCCGGGUGUAGAGGUGAAAUUCGUAGAUAUGCGGAGGAACACCAGUGGCGAAGGCGGCUCACUGGCUCGAUACUGACGCUGAGGUGCGAAAGCGUGGGGAGCAAACAGGAUUAGAAACCCCAGUAGUCC
rnacentral:rRNA from 1 species